GCUGCACCCAACGGCCGCGUGGUGGGGAAGAUGGGAGGGGAUGGGGGUAGGCCGCCGAGCAUCUCCUGCCCCAGAAUCUGGCACGCUGACGGGGACCUAGGGACAGACGACCGCACAACACGCCACGUUGCAGGCGCUGCCAGGCCGGGUGCCUCACCUAGCUCCUUCAUGUAUUCAUCAAAGCCUUUGCUGUCCACCAGGCGCCAUCUUCCUUCCAGCUGCUGAACUGUGGCCAUGGGUACGCGACGGCCUCUCGGGCGCCUCCUGCAAGCAGGGACUCGCCCGGCGCGCCCCACGCCUCAUGGACGCCGGCGCCUGCACGUUUCGGCGCCUCUGCAGGCCCAGGAAGCCAGAGGGGUCACCUGGAGGCCUGGCCCCGCCUCUCCUGCACCCCUCCGUUUGACAACAUAUCCACCGCCGUUUUUCCUUUCAAAAUACCCGGACCAAUCGAUUAGCCCUCGCCGGACUCGGACUGCAGGAAGUGAUUGAUCGGCUGUUUGGUUUAUUGAUUCAUUAACUACGGUGCCUCCCUGACCUUCUGCUCCUCGCCAGCGCACAAGCUCACAAUCCACACCCUCCUAAGAGAACCUGCUCUCGCCAUCCGCAGGUCUCCCUGGCCCAAUAGUGGGGAUAUACCUGAGUUGAGCUAGAGGAUUUUAUCCCUGUUGGGAUGGGGGACGUCUCGGGAAGUGUGGUUUCUAAACUAAAAGACUGCAGGAAGUGUCAA
rnacentral:lncRNA from 1 species